rnacentral:tRNA from 1 species
CAUUACGAAGCUAAUCUAGCGUUAACCUUUUAAGUUAAAGAUUGGAAAGACAUUUUCCCGUAAUGA